UACUACACUUGUGCAGCUGUCAGUGCUGGGAUUGGAGAGGAGAAACUAUCUCAUAUGCUUCUGAUUAUCGGUAACAAUGGGUCUAAAUCUUUUAUGUAUUUUGUUUUUGUUGCUGGUCCUAUAUGUGACACUCUGCAGAUCUGAGACACAGAACUCUACUCCCGGACGUCACCAUGUAGCUAACAAUUACAUUUUUACAUCUAAGUAUUCUCAGGAAGAAAAUAACAUUAUUAAAGGACUAUUCACCAGAUGUACAAGAGUAUUUUCUUACAUGAAUGGAUGGAAAAUUUUCUCCAGUGCAAUCGUCAUGAUCACAGCCUAGGCAACACGAGAGCACGGAGGUGAGUCUCGUUGCCAUGGUAACGACCUGCGACACGGCGCGCGGCGAUGACGUCACAGAGAGACGCGACAGCGGACCAGGUGUACGGACUCGAGAGCGUGCCGUGGAGCAGGGUAACCUUCAGAGAAUACAGACAUGUACGAGCUUUUAUCUUUGCAAUUAAUCAAAUUAACAGGAACCCAGACAUUCUGCCCAACAUUACUCUGGGUUAUCAUUUGUAUGAUUCUUGUGGAAGUGAGAAUAAAGCUGUGGAAGAUGUUUUCUGGAUAUUAUCUGGACACAAAAAGUUAACUCCUAAUUACAUGUGUAUGAAGCAUGGCAAAGUAGCUGGUUUUAUUGGGGAUCUCAACUCUCACACCACCAUCCCAAUGGCACAAAUGCUGAAUGUAUAUGGGUAU